UAACUCGGUUAAACUCUGGCCAUCUCCAACUUCUCCAAGGAGCUAGAGUUCGCUCCCCUCCCCUUUCAUCCAAAAAACCUUUCUUCGACUCCAGGGAGUGGCAGAAACCCUCUCCUCUGAAUCCUUGGGGUACACACAUAUCAGAGGCCUUGGAGAAGACCCUGACACCCCCUUGUCCUCUGCGUGAAGAUGACAGGGAGGAAGAACCUGGUGGGCAGGAGGACCAGUUAGAACUCACUGAGGCUGUGACCUGAAGACCCAGCCCAGGCAGCACAGCUGGAAGUGUCUCGGACAAAGACAUGGCCCCCGAUGUCCUUCCUGGAUGAGACACUGGGACUCCUGGUACAACUCACGUGUCCUGUGAAGAUGGAAUCACUCAGUAACAUCCCCAGGAAAAGCUGGCCACCUGCCCGUCAAUUGGAGAGGCUAUGAGAGGGAGCUGCUGCCAGGGACAGAGGAGCCACUGUCACUUGGGCAUCAAAUGCAUCAGCUUUAUGGUCUCACUAUGUAGUUGAGACUGACCUGAAACU